rnacentral:rRNA from 1 species
AACGAACGCUGGCGGCAUGCCUAACACAUGCAAGUCGAACGAGACCUUCGGGUCUAGUGGCGCACGGGUGCGUAACGCGUGGGAACCUGCCCUUAGGUUCGGAAUAACUCCCCGAAAGGGGUGCUAAUACCGGAUAAUGUCUUCGGACCAAAGAUUUAUCGCCUUUGGAUGGGCCCGCGUUGGAUUCGCUAGUUGGUAGGGUAAAAGCCUACCAAGGCGACGAUCCAUAGCUGGUCUGAGAGGAUGAUCAGCCACACUGGGACUGAGAAACGGCCCAGACUCCUACGGGAGGCAGCAGUGGGGAAUAUUGGACAAUGGGCGAAAGCCUGAUCCAGCAAUGCCGCGUGAGUGAUGAAGGCCUUAGGGUUGUAAAGCUCUUUUACCCGGGAUGAUAAUGACAGUACCGGGAGAAUAAGCUCCGGCUAACUCCGUG